CCUACGGGUGGCAGCAGUGAGGAAUAUUGGUCAAUGGACGAGAGUCUGAACCAGCCAAGUAGCGUGAAGGAUGACUGCCCUAUGGGUUGUACACUUCUUUUAUAUGGGAAUAAAAUGUUCCACGUGUGUGAUAAUGUAUGUAUCAUAGCAAUAAGGAUCGGCUAACUCCGUGCCAGCAGCCGCGGUAAUACGGAGGAACCGAGCGUUAUCCGGAUUUAGUGGGUUUAAAGGGAGCGUAGGUGGAUUGUUAAGGCAGGUGUGAAAGUUUGCGGCUCAACCGUAAAAUUGCAGUUGAAACUGGCAGUCUUGAGUACAGUAGAGGUAGGCGGAAUUCGUGGUGUAGCGGUGAAAUGCUUAGAUAUCACGAAGAACUCCGAUUGCGAAGGCAGUUCACUGGACUGCAACUGACACUGAGGCUCGAAAGUGUGGGUAUCAAACAGGAUUAGAUACCCCGGUAGUC
rnacentral:rRNA from 1 species